rnacentral:tRNA from 1 species
UCGCAGAGUAGAGCAGUGGUAGCUCGUCGGGCUCAUAACCCGAAGGUCGGUGGUUCAAAUCCACCCUCUGCAACCAA